AUUGAACGCUGGCGGCAUGCCUAACACAUGCAAGUCGAACGGGUAGCGGACGGGUGAGUAAUGUCUGGGAACGUGCCUGAUGGAGGGGUAUAAAUACUGGAAACGGUAGCUAAUCACGCAUACCAUCGUAUCUGCCCAGAUGGGAUGAGCUAGUAGGUGGGGUAAAGGCUCACCAAGGCGACGAUCCAUAGCUGGUCUGAGAGGAUGACCAGCCACACUGGAACUGAGACACGGCCCAGACUCCUACGGGAGGCAGCAGUGGGGAAUAUUGGACAAUGGGCGAAAGCCUGAUCCAGCCAUGCCGCGUGUAUGAAGAAGGCCUUCGGGUUGUAAAGGACUUUCAGCGGGGAAGCGGUAUCCGCAGAAGAAGCACCGGCUAACUACGUGCCAGCAGCCGCGGUAAUUC
rnacentral:rRNA from 1 species